rnacentral:rRNA from 1 species
GACAGAGGGUGCAAACGUUGUUCGGAAUUACUGGGCGUAAAGCGUGUGUAGGCGGGCCGUUAAGUGUCUUGUGAAAUCCCCCGGCUCAACCGGGGAAUUGCUGGGCAUACUGGCGGUCUUGAGCGAUCUAGGGGCAGAUGGAACAAGUGGUGGAGCGGUGAAAUGCGUAGAUAUCACUUGGAACGCCAAAGGUGAAGACAGUCUGCUGGGGAUCUGCUGACGCUGAGACACGAAAGCCAGGGGAGCGAACGGG